UUUGUUUAGAAAGGUCUUGGCAGAAACACCUCACCCAAGCUAUCAGAAAGAUGAUAACGACAUUUUUUCUGAGUUUGUUCCUGACUUUCUUAUCACGUGUUCAGUCAGAUGUUACUUUGGUUCAACCAGAGGCAGAGAGUGGCCAUCCUGGUGAAUCCUUGAGGCUGAUCUGUAAAACCAGUGGAUUCGAUCAUGGCAGCGCCUACAUGUACUGGAUCCGACAGGUUCCUGGACAGGGGCUGGAGUGGAUAGUUUACUUCUAUAGUUCAUCGAGCAAUAACUACGUACCAGCGAUUAAAGAUCGAUUUACUGCUUCCAAAAACACUUCACACAACAUCUUCACAUUGGACAUGAACGGCCUGAAGAUCGAAGACACCGCUAUCUAUUAUUGUGCAAGAGACUACAGCGGUGGGUAUAGCACUGCAUCUUUUGCUGACUGGGGACAGGGAACCAUGGUGACCGUGAAUUUAGUGACACCGUCUUCCCCGACACUUUACGGUCUAUUCUCCUCCUGUCAGCAACACAACACUGACGGCUCUGUGAUUUUUGGUUGUUUGGUGAUGGACUAUUCCCCUGACGUCACCACUGUGACAUGGAAGAAAGAUGAGAAGCAGAUCGCCACUGGAUUUAAGACAUACCCAUCAGUGAGAAACAAGAAGGGAACUUACACCCUGAACAGCCAGUUAGCCCUGACAAGAUCAGAUGCACAUUGCGGAAAAGUCUACUGUGAGGUUCGACACAACGGGUCUGAAAAGAGCAUUGGAAUGCAAUGUUCAUCACGUCAUGUCACUCCGACUGUUCUCCUAACUGUGAGUUCCAGUGAAGAAAUCGAGAGCAGAAGAUUUGCAACCAUUGUCUGUUCAAUCAUUAACUUUAAUCCAAAGUCAGUCUCCGUGAUUUGGCUGAAGAAUGGAAGACGCGUGCAUUCUGGCAUCUUCACUUCUCCUGUGUGUGAAGCGAAUGGAAACUUCUCAACGACCAGUCGCCUCAGAGUCCCUGAUGUUGAAUGGUUCGACAAAGCAGUCUACACAUGCCAGGUCUAUCAUGAAGGAUUCAUUCAAAGUCAGAACAUCAGCGGACCUCAGGUUUCAGCGUGCCGUGAUUACACAGCUAAAAUACUACCGCCACCAGUUGAACAGGUCUUACUGGACGCGACAGUGACGUUAACCUGCAUUGUGUGCAAUCUUCAUUUUGAAGCCAACUUCACCUGGAUAAACAACAAGAAGACUCUGAAAUCAGAGACUGUUGAACAGUCCAGACAGAAUUCUGAAGGUGUGAUCAGCAAAUUAGAUAUUUCUACUGAAGCCUGGCUGAGAGGGGAUAAUUUUGAAUGCGUGGUGAACCAUCAGUUUCUGCCGACUCCACUGAGAGACUCCAUCCACAAGGAGAAAUUGAUAUAUCCACUGGAGCCAUCGGUGUCCGUCCUCCUGCCAACGACAGAAGAAGUCUCCACACAGCGGUUUGUUUCACUCACCUGUUUAGUGAGAGGUUUCAGGCCCAGAGAGAUCUUCGUCAAGUGGACAGCCAAUGACAAGCCCAUUCAUCCCAGUAACUACAAGAACACCGAGGUGACGGCAGAGAGCAACAACACCUCAUUCUUCCUGUACAGCCUAUUAUCCAUUGCAGCGGAGGAGUGGGCCAGCGGUGCUUCUUACUCCUGUGUGGUGGGACAUGAAGCGAUUCCAUUCAAGAUCAUCAAUAGAACGGUUGAUAAAUCCAGCGGUAAACCGAGUUUUGUGAAUAUUUCACUUGCAUUGAUGGACACCAUUAAUUCAUGCCAAUGAAAAUUUCAA